GAUGAACGCUGGCGGCGUGCUUAACACAUGCAAGUCGAACGAAGCACUUUAUUUGAUUUCCUUCGGGGCUGAUUAUUUUGUGACUGAGUGGCGGACGGGUGAGUAACGCGUGGGUAACCUGCCUUGUACAGGGGGAUAACAGUUGGAAACGGCUGCUAAUACCGCAUAAGCGCACGGCAUCGCAUGAUGCAGUGUGAAAAACUCCGGUGGUAUAAGAUGGACCCGCGUUGGAUUAGCUAGUUGGUGAGGUAACGGCCCACCAAGGCGACGAUCCAUAGCCGACCUGAGAGGGUGACCGGCCACAUUGGGACUGAGACACGGCCCAAACUCCUACGGGAGGCAGCAGUGGGGAAUAUUGCACAAUGGGCGAAAGCCUGAUGCAGCGACGCCGCGUGAGCGAAGAAGUAUUUCGGUAUGUAAAGCUCUAUCAGCAGGGAAGAUAAUGACGGUACCUGACUAAGAAGCACCGGCUAAAUACGUG
rnacentral:rRNA from 1 species